AGCUGGUACAGCGCUGUGUUUUGGAUUAGUAUGAGAAUAAUGUUGAUAACACACUGACGUUUUAGUUGUUGCUAAGUAGGGCUUACCCUAAGUCAAGGACUUUUCAGUUUCCCGUGGUCUGCCAGCGAGCAGGUGCACAAGAAGCUGGGAGGGAGCAGAGCCGGGACAGCUGACCCCAACUGGCCAAAGGGGUGUCACUCGAAAAUGCUAAUUGAUGUGCUGUCUGCCUGAAACCUACUGUAACAAGUCUCAGCUGUAACUGGAUCUGUUUGGAACUAGUGUAAGCUUGGGCCCUGACACUUCCAAGACUGCAAGAUUGAAACGUGGAGCUGUGGCUGGAUCCAAAGGCCUGGAAGCU